CAGCGGCCGCGGCCGGCGGCCGAGUCGGGAGGAUGCGGCGGCGCUCGCGGAUGCUGCUCUGCUUCGCCUUCCUGUGGGUGCUGGGCAUCGCCUACUACAUGUACUCGGGGGGCGGCUCCGCACUGGCCGCGGGCGCGGGCGGCGGCGCCGGCAGGAAGGAGGACUGGAAUGACAUUGACCCAGUUAAAAAGAAAGACCUGCAUCACAGCAACGGGGAUGAGAAAGCACACAGCAUGGAGACCCUCCCUCCAGGGAAAGUGCGAUGGCGGGACUUUAACCAGGAGGCUUACGUUGGCGGGACAAUGGUCCGCUCCGGGCAGGACCCCUAUGCACGCAACAAGUUCAACCAAGUCGAGAGCGAUAAGCUGCGGAUGGACAGAGCAGUUCCCGACACUAGGCAUGACCAGUGUCAGCGGAAGCAGUGGCGGGUAGAUCUGCCAGCCACCAGCGUGGUCAUCACGUUUCACAAUGAAGCCAGGUCAGCUUUGCUGAGGACAGUGGUCAGUGUCCUUAAGAAAAGCCCGCCCCACCUGAUAAAAGAAAUCAUCUUGGUGGAUGACUACAGCAAUGACCCUGAAGACGGGGCUCUCUUGGGGAAAAUUGAGAAAGUACGUGUACUCCGAAACGAUCGGCGAGAAGGCCUGAUGAGGUCGCGGGUGCGGGGGGCCGACGCGGCGCAGGCCAAGGUCCUGACCUUCCUGGACAGCCACUGCGAGUGCAACGAGCGCUGGCUGGAGCCCCUCCUGGAGAGGGUGGCUGAGGACAGGACCCGUGUCGUGUCCCCCAUCAUUGAUGUCAUCAACAUGGACAACUUUCAGUACGUGGGCGCGUCUGCGGACUUAAAAGGCGGUUUUGACUGGAACUUGGUGUUCAAAUGGGAUUACAUGACCCCUGAGCAGAGACGGUCCCGGCAGGGGAACCCCGUCGCUCCCAUAAAAACCCCUAUGAUUGCUGGAGGGUUGUUCGUGAUGGAUAAGUUCUAUUUUGAAGAGCUGGGGAAGUAUGACAUGAUGAUGGAUGUGUGGGGAGGAGAAAACCUGGAGAUCUCGUUCCGCGUGUGGCAGUGUGGCGGCAGCCUGGAGAUUGUCCCCUGCAGCCGCGUGGGACACGUGUUCAGGAAGCAGCACCCCUACACCUUCCCGGGAGGCAGCGGCACUGUCUUCGCCCGUAACACCCGCCGGGCAGCAGAGGUCUGGAUGGACGAAUACAAGAACUUCUACUACGCAGCAGUGCCUUCUGCCAGAAACGUCCCUUACGGAAAUAUUCAGAGCCGACUGGAGCUCAGGAAGAAACUUAACUGCAAGCCUUUCAAAUGGUACCUGGAAAAUGUCUACCCAGAGCUAAGGGUUCCUGACCAUCAGGAUAUAGCUUUUGGGGCCUUGCAGCAGGGAACCAACUGCCUGGACACUUUGGGCCACUUCGCUGAUGGUGUUGUUGGAGUUUACGAGUGUCACAAUGCUGGGGGCAACCAGGAAUGGGCCCUUACCAAGGAAAAGUCGGUGAAGCACAUGGACUUGUGCCUGACCGUGGUGGACCGGGCGCCUGGCUCCCUCAUAAAGCUGCAGGGCUGCCGGGAGAACGACAGCAGGCAGAAAUGGGAGCAGAUCGAGGGCAAUUCUAAGCUGCGGCAUGUGGGCAGCAACCUGUGCCUGGACAGCCGCGCAGCCAAGACGGGCGGCCUGAGCGUGGAGGUGUGCGGCCCGGCGCUGUCGCAGCAGUGGAAGUUUUCGCUCAACCUGCAGCCGUAG
rnacentral:lncRNA from 1 species